AGAGAUGGUACCAUCCACAAGGGACCCUCCCUACUUGAUCAAUAAUUGAGAAAAUGCCUUACAGUUGGAUCUCAUGGAGGCACUUCCCCAGGUAAAGCUCCUUUCUCAGUGAUAACUCCAGCCUGUGUCAAGUUGACACAAAACUUGCCAGUACAGGAGCUUAAGAAACUUUAAAUAUUAGUCUUCCUGUUAAACACUGUAGGUUUUGUUGUGGAUGAUUUCAAACCUUUUGAUCUCCUCUACCUUUUAAAACUUUAUAAUAUUUUAAAUCCUCCCUCACAACCUAGUUAACCUUUUGCUUACACAAAGACCCUGUUACAGUUUUGGAAUUUAAAUGAUUCAGGGGCCUUCCCCGUUUCCUUUGUGCCAAUUCUUUUAAAACUAGCCAAUUGAGAAAGACUGUAAAGUCAGGCCCUAGCCAAUGGGGAAAAGACCACUUAUGUUAGAAUAAAAACCAAGUGCACUCACUUCCUGCCCUGGUGUGCAUGCUCUUCUUUUUGAGUUGUGCACCCUCUUGAUCAAGAGUAAAGUUUUGCUUUGUCUAGACACGUCAGUUGCUUUUCUUUGUAACUCCAAACUUAUUUCUUACAGAAGGUAGAAGGUUUUCUAGUUUGAGAUUUUUCUGGACCACACAGUAAGUUUUUUUGUGUUUUUUUUUUUUAUGGUUUGUUUUGUUUUUUGGUAACUCAGUUUAUUUUAUGCAUGAGUGUUUUGUUGGGCAUGUAUGCAUAUGUACCACAUGUGUGCUUGAUGUCCAUGGAGGUCAGAAGAGGGCAUUGGAUCCCCUGGGACUUGAGCCACAGAUAUUUGUGAACCACCACAAAGGUGCUAGAAAUGAACCUGGUUCUCUACAAGAACAAGUGCCAGGCAUGGGGGUGCACGCCUUAAUCCCUGCACCUGGGAGGCAGAGGCAGGCAGAUCUCCAUGGGUUCCAGGCCAGCCUGGUUUGCACAGCCAGAGAUGCAUAAUAGACCCUGUCUCAAACACACACACACAAAGUGCUUCUAAUUGCAGAGCCAUCUCUACACUUUUAGAAGCAAGUUUCAAAUCAGCCUGAACUACAUAGUGAGACUUGUCUCAGAAAAUCAAAAUAUUUUUUAAAAUUAAAGAUAUAUACUUCAGCUAUCUGAUUUUAUUUUAUGCAAGCUGCUAAAAAAAUAGAAACCCAUUUCUAAUGACAGAAAAUAGAUCAGUGAUUGCCUAGAGACAGAAUUGACUGUUGAGGUAUUGGGCAUUGGGGCAAUGGAAACAUGAUUUAGCCCUCAGAGCUCUUGUUCCUCUUGCAGAGAAUUCCAUUUGGUUCCCUCCACACAUCUGGCAGCUUACAAUAGCUCUGUUUUCUGGAAAUCUGACACCUUCCUCUUGCCACUGAAGGCACCAGGUACACAUGUGGUGCAUGCAAGAAAUAUUCAUAUACAUAAAAUAAAAAUAUUUUUAAAGGUAUUGGGAGCUUUAAGGAAGUAUUGAGCUGGGUAUAAUAGCACACAUCUUUAAUCCUGGCAGGCAGAGGCAGGUGGCUCUCUUGAGUUCAGGGUCAAUCUAGUCUACAAAGUGAGUUAUAGAACAGGCAGAGCUGCACAGUGAGACCCUGUCC
rnacentral:lncRNA from 1 species